AUGAAGCCGGAAUUGCUAGUAAUGGCAGGUCAGCAUACUGCCGUGAAUACGUUCCCGGGCCUUGUACACACCGCCCGUCACACCAUGAGAGUUGGGAAUACCCGAAGCCUGUGAGCUAACUUUUAGAGGCAGCAGUCGAAGGUAGAAUCAAUGAUUGGGGUGAAGUCGUAACAAGGUACC
rnacentral:rRNA from 1 species